GCCCCUCCCCCUGACGAUUGUUGCCGAAGGCGAGGCGAGCGUUUCCGAGCGCACUCGGCUCCUUCCGCCAUCACCUGCGCCAUCCUGACGCGCGGAAGCCGAAGUCCCUCGCUUCCGUUUUAGUGCACUUUUGCUUUCGGAAAAUUCUUGCUGCACACCGUGAACUGUUGGAACCUACUGAUUAUACUUCACAGACAACCCAGACAACCCCCAAAUUCUUCAGAUUUGCCACAGCGGCCUCUUCCCUGCAGAGCAUUGCUUUUGUUCAUCCUCAGAAGUUCACCCUACCUGCUGUAUAAGAGAAUGCUUCUGUUGGAAGAGGUCAUCAAGAGAACAUGACACCAAUUGACCCUGGAGCUGGACCCUGGGCAAGCAGAAGACCCCACCCCUCCUCUUUCCUUGAAAUGUAUGUUCAGCCCACUGUUCCCACACUAGCAGCUAUUUCAAGGAGGCAGCCUUGAGAGAGUAGUGUGUUGCUAAGAUCAUCUGGGCUGAAUAUGUGACUGAACCCCAGUUGAGGCUUUUAUAUUAACUUUAAGAUUCUAAAAGGUGGGUAUGGAAAUAUACUUAUUUUGCAGCACCUAGUACAAGCCUCGUAUGUAAAUUAUCUUCUUUAUUAUACCUGCCACCUACCGAUCUGGUGGUGUCUGCCUUUUUUUGGUCUUUUUUUUGCCUACCAUGUACAGGGCUAGUUUGAGAAACAAUAGCCUCUCCUACAUAGGAUGUUGUAAAACUUGGAGUUUUUGCUUAUCUGUUUGGUGAGAAACUGCAUCUCAGUGUAGUUUUAAUAACUCUUUUUCUUACUAUGGAUGGAGAUUGAGCAUCUUUUCAUAUAUUUAAGGGUUAUUCACAUUAGUUUUUCUAUGAGUAAUCUAUAUCCUUUGCAUGUGUUUUCUUCAUUAAGUUCUUAUAUUUUCUCCUCAAUUUCUUAGUAACUUUUUUAUAUCAGGAAGGUCAGUCCUUAGUCUUACAUAUGACUGAGAAUAUUUUUUCUCUAAUUUAUUGAUAUUAUAAGUUGUAUUUUGACUAUUAAUGUUUAUAUAUUUUUGUCCCAUAGAUUUGUCAUAUGCUUACAGGUGACUUAAAAUCUCUUUCCACUACUGUAUUGUGUCUAUCCAUGUGUCUCCUCCAGUUGUUUGUAAGUAUUGCUGUUGGGCAUUUAGGGCAUUACAGAGUGACUUUCAUGUCACUUUUAAUGGUUUGGGGCAAGAAGUAUACUCUGUCUGAUAUUACUAUCAGGACCACAGUUCUCUUUUUGUUUGUAUUCACUUAAUUAUACUUUGUCCAUCUUUCUAUUUCAUAUGAACUAAAUAACUUUUAUAGGACAUGUCUCUUGGCAUAGUGUUGGAUUUUGAUUCAUGAUAAAAUUUGAAGAUCUUUCUUUUGCUAAGUGAUGUAAUCCUAUUUUCAUUUAUUGUUUAACAGAUAAGUUCGGUAUUGGCUCUGUAACAUAAUUUUAUGUUGUAUUUCAGUGUUUAGGGUAUUUUUAAAAAAUCUUUCACUUUAUAUACAGUUCUCAUACUUAAGGUAUAUAUGCUCAUUUUAUUGGCUACUUUUAUAAACAUAGUAUCAUACAUACUUUUUACUCAUUUAUUUUUUAGACAGCAGUGAUGACAUUAGAAUCAUCUCCCUUCAUCUUUUUCUUUAUAACUCAAUCUUAAUCCAUAAUAAUAUAUAUCUUAGUAUCUACAUUUGACUGGUGUAGUCUGUUUACACUUCUCUUACUUGGUGUGUCAACUCUGAAUCACAUCCUCAUACUCCCAGCGAUCAACAGAUUGACUCUACCUUCCAUUUUCUUCCCCUGCCCCUGUUUGUUAGUUGUGUUAUCUCUAUAUCAUCAGCUCACAUGGCAUUUACAUUUUUCUCCUUCUCCUUCAUCACCACAGUACCUUUAGAGCCAGUCCUGUGGUGGUAUUAGUUGACUGAAGUGCAGUCUCUGAGAGUUUCUCAAGGAUGUCUCAUGGCAGUUGUGGUCACUGAGUUUGUGCAACUUUAAAACUGUCACCUUUCUGUUUGAAGGGCACCUUGGUUUGAUGUAAAAACUUUGGGUCAUGGUUUUUGUUGUUGCUUUCUGAUUGUUUAUUUUUAAUCUUAGAAUAACAGCUGUGGUGUUUUCUGGUGUUGACCAUUGCUGUGAGGAAUCAGAAGCAAGACUGAUGUGUUUUCCUACCUGCUCAGUGGAGUCUUUCUUUGUCUUUAAGGUUGGAUAACUUUACCAGGAUUUGUAUCUGUAUUGAUGAUUCUAUUAUGGUUUCUCAGACAUAGUGUGUGCGUUUCUUAUUUAGAAUGGCUUCUUUUAUGUGUGGAAAGUUUAUUUUUAAUUAUGUAUUUAAAUAUAUACUCUAGUUCACCACUAUUACUAUUGUAUCAAUACAGGUGGGAGGAUUCUAA